rnacentral:piRNA from 1 species
UUUGGAAAGUACCGUAAUGAAAC